AGUGAACGCUGGCGGUAGGCCUAACACAUGCAAGUCGAACGGCAGCACAGUAAGAGCUUGCUCUUACGGGUGGCGAGUGGCGGAUGGGUGCGGAAUACAUCGGAAUCUACUUUUUCGUGGGGGCUAACGUAGGGACACUUACGCUAAUACCGCAUACGACCUACGGGUGAAAGCAGGGGAUCUUCGGACAUUGCGCGAUCGAAUGAGCCGAUGUCGGAUUAGCUAGUUGGCGGGGUAAAGGCCCACCAAGGCGACGAUCCGUAGCUGGUCUGAGAGGAUGAUCAGCCACACUGGAACUGAGACACGGUCCAGACUCCUACGGGAGGCAGCAGUGGGGAAUAUUGGACAAUGGGCGCAAGCCUGAUCCAGCCAUACCGCGUGGGUGAAGAAGGCCUUCGGGUUGUAAAGCCCUUUUGUUUGGAAAGAAAAGCAGCAGGUUAAUACCCCGCUGUUCUGACGGUACCCAAAGAAUAAGCACCGGCUAACUUCGUG
rnacentral:rRNA from 1 species